rnacentral:rRNA from 1 species
CGGAUCGCAGGCUGCAACCCGCCUGCGUGAAGUCGGAAUCGCUAGUAAUCGCGGAUCAGCAUGCCGCGGUGAAUACGUUCCCGGGCCUUGUACACACCGCCCGUCACACCAUGAGAGUCGGAACACCCGAAGUCCGUAGCCUAACUUUAACGAGGGGCGCGGCCGAAGGUGGUUCGAUAAUUGGGUGAAGUCGUAACAAGGUAAC